rnacentral:rRNA from 1 species
GACGAACGCUGGCGGCGUGCUUAACACAUGCAAGUCGAACGGAAAGGCCCUGCUUUUGUGGUGUGCUCGAGUGGCGAACGGGUGAGUAACACGUGAGUAACCUGCCCUUGACUUUGGGAUAACUUCAGGAAACUGGGGCUACUACCGGAUAGGAGCUCCUGCUGCAUGGAGGGGGUUGGAACGUUUCGGCGGUUGGGGAUGGACUCGCGGCUUAUCAGCUUGUUGGUGGGGUAGUGGCUGACCAAGGCAGUGACGGGUAGCCGGCCUGAGAGGGUGACCGGCCUCCUUAGGCCUGCGGGAGGGCGCAGUCGCCUAUGGGAGACAGCGGUGGGGAACAUGACCCAGUCGGAGCGAGUCUGUUGCGGCGGCGCUGCGGUCGUAAUGACGUCCUUCUGGUUGUAAACCGCAUUCGCCUGUGACGAAGCUGUAGUGACGGUAAUGAGUGAAGAAGCACCGGCUAACUACGUG